rnacentral:rRNA from 1 species
ACGGGAGGCAGCAGUGGGGAAUAUUGCACAAUGGGGGAAACCCUGAUGCAGCGACGCCGCGUGAAGGAUGAAGUAUUUCGGUAUGUAAACUUCUAUCAGCAGGGAAGAAAAUGACGGUACCUGACUAAGAAGCCCCGGCUAACUACGUGCCAGCAGCCGCGGUAAUACGUAGGGGGCAAGCGUUAUCCGGAUUUACUGGGUGUAAAGGGAGCGUAGACGGUAAUGCAAGUCUGGAGUGAAAACCCGGGGCUCAACCCCGGGACUGCUUUGGAAACUGUGUAACUAGAGUGUCGGAGAGGCAAGUGGAAUUCCUAGUGUAGCGGUGAAAUGCGUAGAUAUUAGGAGGAACACCAGUGGCGAAGGCGGCUUGCUGGACGAUGACUGACGUUGAGGCUCGAAAGCGUGGGGAGCAAACAGGAUUAGAUACCCUGGUAGUCCACGCCGUAAACGAUGACUACUAGGUGUCGGUAAGCAAAGCUUAUCGGUGCC